CCAAGAAGAAGAUGGAAGAGAAGGAGCUUCCUCCGGAUGAAAAGCGUUGUUGUCAAACUAGUAAUAGACAGGAAAUUUAAAAUGGGUCAUGGUACUUCUGGUGCUGCUGCUGAUCAAAUUUUGUGAAAAACAUUACUAUGACUACGCAAAGUAUUAUAAGAAGAAGCUUCUUGAGAAGAAGAAGACAAGUGGAGAUCGUGAAGGUGCAGUUGCAGGUUGUAGUGCUACUGGUGGUCCUAUACAAACUAGGGCUUCCAAACGGAGGAAGAAGGUUACUGAGGAAGAUGACAGGUCCAUUGAUGAAACAGGAGGAAUUCAAUCAGCUACUAGUAGUGAUGAUUCCCCUGAUAGAAUUCUAGAAGGUGGUUCUGCCAAUAUUGAGAGGAAGGGGGAAAAUGUCGAAAGAGCAUAAGGGCCUGGAGAACUUGAAUCAUUGACAAGAAUUACGGAACCUAUGGUCGAAUAGGAAAGUCUGGAGCAUUAUAAGAGUAAGUGUUUUCAAUUGUCUGUGGAGCUUGACAAGAUGAAAGUAGAGCAUGAGAAGAUGAGAGUAGAGUUUGAGAAGAAGAAAGUGGAAUGCACUACACUCCAGGUUAAAUUAACGGAGGCAGAAACUGCUGCUACAGAUGAGACUGAAUGGGAAACCGCAAAUGCAACUGAGUGUUGUAGGAAGAUGAUGUCCAAUUUUGAGAGUCGACUCCUGAGGAUGGAAAAUGAAAAGUCAAAAAUGGGAUGUUUAGAGUCUCAGAUUUUGAAUUUGGAGAGAGUAAACCUGAGAAUGGAAAUUGAAAGUUUAACAAUGGGAUGUGUAGAAUCUCGCGUUUCAAAUUUGGAGAGCCUAGUUUUGAGGAGUCGAAAGGAAAGUUCAAUACUGAGAUGUGUUAGAUCGCGUGAUUCUGAAAAGAUAGAGUUCGAAGCGCAGGGCUUACAGAAUGACGUUACUCAAGGUGGUGAAAAGCAAAGAGAUAAACACGACCGGAGCACACCUAAUGCUGAAACCAGCAGUGGAGGGAGGAAGGAUUCUUAUGUGUUCAAGUUUAAAACCGAAGGCAUAUGAUGUUGAUGUCAAUAAACAUCAUGAAUCAGAGUCUGAAUUUUCCAAAUACUUUACUAUGAACAUUUUGUCUGGAAGUCUACAUUUAUCAAGUGGGGGAGAAAACAUUGAGGAAGGUAACUGUUGGGGCUUUUCGGAAGAGAGACCAUCUCAACAUGGAUCAUCAUCUCAAGAUCAACUGGGUUUAAGAUGACUUCUGUGAAAUCGACAGCAUAUAUCUGAAGACAAAAUAUCACCCAAUGUGUUGGUCAUUAACGGUACAGGCUCAGGUGUACUACUUUGGCCAAGUUUCUAAUGGAUGAGGACUGCAAAGGUGACC